UUCCUGGUGGCUCAGACAGUAAAGCAUCUGCCUGCAAUGCGGGAGACCCGAGUUCAAUCCCUGGCUUGGGAA
rnacentral:tRNA from 1 species